UACGUAGGGCGCAAGCGUUGUCCGGAUUUAUUGGGCGUAAAGAGCGUGUAGGCGGCCAUACAGGUCAGCUGUGAAAACUCGAGGCUCAACCUCGAGACGUCGGUUGAAACCGUAUGGCUAGAGUCCGGAAGAGGAGAGUGGAAUUCCCGGUGUAGCGGUGAAAUGCGCAGAUAUCGGGAAGAACACCUAUGGCGAAGGCAGCUCUCUGGGACGGUACUGACGCUGAGACGCGAAAGCGUGGGGAGCGAACAGG
rnacentral:rRNA from 1 species